rnacentral:rRNA from 1 species
CACGUAGGGAGCAAGCGUUGUCCGGAUUUAUUGGGCGUAAAGAGCUCGUAGGCGGUUCGAUAAGUCAGGUGUGAAAACUCUGGGCUCAACUCAGAGACGCCACUUGAUACUGUCGUGACUGGAGUCUGGUAGGGGAGUGUGGAAUUCCCGGUGUAGCGGUGAAAUGCGCAGAUAUCGGGAGGAACACCAGUGGCGAAGGCGGCACUCUGGGCCAGUACUGACGCUGAGGAGCGAAAGCGUGGGGAGCGAACAGGAUUAGAUACCCUGGUAGUCCACGCCGUAAACGUUGGGCACUAGGUGUGGGUCUCAACCAACGGGAUCCGUGCCGCAGCUAACGCAUUAAGUGCCCCGCCUGGGGAGUACGGCCGCAAGGCUAAA